rnacentral:rRNA from 1 species
GGGGAAUAUUGGGCAAUGGGCGAAAGCCUGACCCAGCAACGCCGCGUGAAGGAAGAAGGUCUUCGGAUUGUAAACUUCUGUCCUUAGGGAAGAAGGAAGUGACGGUACCUAAGGAGGAAGCCCCGGCUAACUACGUGCCAGCAGCCGCGGUAAUACGUAGGGGGCGAGCGUUGUCCGGAAUUACUGGGCGUAAAGGGUGCGUAGGCGGCCCAUUAAGUCCAAUGUGAAAUAUCCGGGCUUAACUUGGAAAGUGCAUUGGAAACUAACGGGCUUGAGUGCAGGAGAGGGAAGCGGAAUUCCUAGUGUAGCGGUGAAAUGCGUAGAUAUUAGGAGGAACACCAGUGGCGAAGGCGGCUUUCUGGACUGCAACUGACGCUGAGGCACGAAAGCGUGGGGAGCAAAC